UUGACCUCAAAUCGGGUGAGACUACCCGCUGAACUUAAGCAUAUCAAUAAGCGGAGGAAAAGAAACUAACAAGGAUUCCCCUAGUAACUGCGAGUGAAGCGGGAAAAGCUCAAAUUUAAAAUCUGGUGGUCUUUGGCCAUCCGAGUUGUAAUUUAGAGAAGCGUCUUCCGCGCUGGACCGUGCACAAGUCUCCUGGAACGGAGCGUCAUAGAGGGUGAGAAUCCCGUCUUUGGCACGGACAUCCCAGGGCUUUUGUGAUGCGCUCUCGAAGAGUCGAGUUGUUUGGGAAUGCAGCUCAAAAUGGGUGGUGAACUCCAUCUAAAGCUAAAUAUUGGCGAGAGACCGAUAGCGAACAAGUACCGUGAGGGAAAGAUGAAAAGCACUUUGGAAAGAGAGUGAAACAGUACGUGAAAUUGUUGAAAGGGAAACGCUUGAAGUCAGUCGCGUCGACCGAGACUCAGCCUUGCCUUGGCUUGGUGUACUUCUCGGCUGACGGGUCAGCAUCAAUUUUGCCCCUUGGAUAAUGGCGAGGGAAAUGUGACACCUUUACGGUGUGUUAUAGUCUCUUGUCGCAUGCAAGGGUUGGGAUUGAGGAACUCAGCACGCGCCUUUGGGUGUCGGGGUUUUUGCCCACGAUACGUGCUUAGGAUGUUGGCGUAAUGGCUUUAAACGACCCGUCUU
rnacentral:rRNA from 1 species